UCCAGACUCCUACGGGAGGCAGCAGUAGGGAAUAUUGCUCAAUGGGGGAAACCCUGAAGCAGCAACGCCGCGUGGAGGAUGAAGGUUUUCGGAUUGUAAACUCCUUUUGUUAGAGAAGAUAAUGACGGUAUCUAACGAAUAAGCACCGGCUAACUCCGUGCCAGCAGCCGCGGUAAUACGGAGGGUGCAAGCGUUACUCGGAAUCACUGGGCGUAAAGAGCGCGUAGGCGGGAUAGCAAGUCAGAUGUGAAAUCCUAUGGCUUAACCAUAGAACUGCAUUUGAAACUGUUAUUCUAGAGUAUGGGAGAGGUAGGUGGAAUUCCAGGUGUAGGAGUGAAAUCCGUAGAUAUCUGGAGGAACAUCAGUGGCGAAGGCGACUAUCUGGCACAUAACUGACGCUGAGGAGCGAAAGCGUGGGUAGCAAACAGGAUUAGAUACCCCCGUACAA
rnacentral:rRNA from 1 species